UUUUUUGUUUUUGUCUUUUUAGGGCUGCACCUGCAGUAUACGGACGUUUCUAGGCUAGGGGUCAAAUGGGAGCUGCCACCGAAGCCUAUGCCGCCGUUUGUGGCAAUACUCACUGGAUUCUUAACACCCUGAGUGAGGCCAGGGAUCAAACCUGCAUCCUCAUGGAUACUAACUGGGUUCUUAACUCAUUCAGCCACAGUGGGAACUCCCCCUUUUUUGCGAGUACUGUUAUUCCAGGCAGUAACCCAGAAGACCCAUCACCGUGAUCAUGCUGAUAUUUCCUGAUGCCAUAUUUGAUGACUAAGAUUCCCCCAAAGAAAGAAGAAUGCAUGUUUGCCCCAAACCUGAUUCUUACCUGAAACCCUGUUUUUCUCCUUUUAGACUAUAAAACUCCCUACGAUUCUUCCCCAAGAGAGAACACAGUCUUAAGGCAUUAGCCUGCUGUGUCCUCCUUUCCCUGGCAAAGCACUAAAAGCUAUCUUUUCCACCUUCACCCAAAACUCUGUCUCCAAGUUUCUAUUCGGCUCCAGUGGACAGAGGCAACAUUCACUUCUCCUGUAUAUUUACCUCUCCACAGUUUGGAGCCCCUAAAAGCCUAAAUUCUUUUCCUUUCAUCUUAUCACUGCUGGACAAAAAUCACUCUUCUUUCAGAUGCGAUAUAAGCCCCAAGUUCUAACCACCUCUUUGAGUUUUUCAUCACUGAGUCCUCUCACAUGUAUGUGUGAUUAAUGUACUUUUGUUUUUCUCGUGUUCAUUUGUCUUUUGUCAGUCUAAUUGGCAGGGCCCCAGCCAAGAACCUAGGAGGGAAGAAGGAAAAAGCUGUCAAGAUACCUGCCCUUCUUCCUUCCCUAAUGUUGCCUUGCCUGGCCCCCAAAUCAUUUCAGUUUGAGAUUCCCACAGCAUAUAUCUACAUAGUGUUUACCUAGAGUGAGUUCUACAGUGGUCUCUUCCGGCUACUCAAGGACAGAUUCUACAUAAGAAAAGGGACUUUGAAAUUCUUGUGACAAUCAGUGAUCUUUCUAAAUUGGAAGGAUGAAUUAUUGUCAAAAUAACAAGCCUCAUUUUCCAGUGUGGGAAAAUCACUGGAAUAAUUUCUCUUAGAAAGAAACAAUUUCGUUAUAUGGAAAAAUCAGCCUCUGUUCAGCAACCCUUGAAUGGCAGCUUCAAACAUUAGAACCUUGCCAAACCAAUUUUCCCCUUUCAGAUUUAACACUGCUCCAUUUAUCUCAGUGGGGACUAAAGACCAGCUAAAUUUGAAGUCAUAAAGCUCAGCCUUUUUGAAUGAUUUUGGUCAAAACAGCUCUUUUGUAAGCAGGCGAAGUGUGCUUAUUUAAUGUUCUUCCUUCUCAAAGAGACUAAAGAGAAAUUUCUAAAAUUUUCCCCAAACAUUUCACCUCUGAGAGGAUUAUAAAGGUGGAGAAUUUCAGUUGGAAAAGGUAAGGGUAUUUCAGAGCGUUAUCAGCUCUCAGAAAAUGGGAGAUUAUAAUGGAAUCAGGGUCCCUCCCCCUUUGCCUUUAACUAGAGUGAAUGCUUCUGUGAUCACUGUAAUAAUGACGUUUUGCAUUUAUAUAGCACCAUUUAUUCUUCUGAGGAGCUCAAAAAGCUUUACAAACAUUAUCUCAUUAAAUCCUCUCUACCUCCCUGUGAGGCAGGUAAUGACAAGAGAGAUUAUCCCCAAAGUACAAGGUUCCCUCAGGUGGGGGAAAUGGUGAGAUGAGUUUUCCCUAAUCCCAGGCCAAGUCCCCCGCCAAGGCUGGAAAUAAAGCUCUGGUCUGCAGAUGCUGAGAGAGCCUCAUGUGAGGACCAGUGUUUCCUGGGGGUGAUCAGGAGAGACUUGGCUCCCCACGUGUCCUUGCACCGCUUCCAGGGACUCAGGACGUGGCAAAGGGAAGCCACGUCUGGGACCUCCCAUCUGAAAACCAUUGCAGGGGCACCGUAGACAGGGGAGGCAUUCAGGGAGUGUUAGUGAAUGCAUGAAUGCCAUUUCAGUCUCCAGACGUCCAGCUGCACUUGGUUGUGCUCAAGUUCAAAUUGUACCCAAGAGCUGAAUGUUCAGAGACUUCCCUUUCCUUUUGAGACACUGGGCCCAUUUUCAAAUGCACUAGUGGAAUAUCCAUACCUCGUGGUGAUUUUAGAUUGGAGAAGAGGCCUGUUUGUUUGGUAUACUGAGGUUAAAAAAAUUUUUUUUGCAAGGGCUGUACUGGGAGUGUGUUUGAAGGAAGGGGAGUAGUUAAUUGGAUUGGCCCUGUAAGUUAGCGAUGCUACAUAGACCUCCAAAGCAACUGGCCUGGCCGCAGAGAAUGGCAGAUGGUGGUGGGGGGAGGAAGACAUUUUGAUAGAGAUAGAAUAGGAUAGUUAUACCAGAAGUUAUAGACCCCUGAAGUGGACCACAGAUAGAGUGGGAAACCUAGGGGGCUUUGGGAGACCAUUGUAAGUUCAUAACUUCUCAAGAAAGCCAUCAGAACAUUGUGGAAAGAAGCAGGCUUGCUUAAGACUGUAUAAGUUACAGCUCCUGCUUUUAUUUAUGGUUUUAUAGUUGUGCCUCAGGUCAUUAAGUGAAAGAUAAAAUGAGGCCUGCGUUCAAGUUCAGCAAGAUAAUGAUCCUUAGGACCAAGGACAGGAAUUUAAGGGAAAGAUGACAUUCCAAAACAGGUGACCCUCAUUAUAGGAAACCUGAGAUGAUCCAACAUAUUUAUCCACCCUUCUAAUUUGCAUAAACGCCAUGGCAAUCCUAGUUUGACCUCGUAGGGCCAAAUACUCUCUUACCAGAUACGAAGGAGGAGCUGAUGACCUAAGCUUGAUGAUGACCUAAGCCUGAUGUCUACUCGAAGAAAGAGGCAGUCUUUUCCCACUCCCCAAUUUCCUUGGAUUAUAAAAAUGUAGCCCACCUAAAUCUUGGGGCAGAGCUUCUUUGCCUGCAGGUUUGUAUCCCUCACAAGCAUCCUAGCUUAAUUAAUCUGUGUCUUGCUUAUCACUUUGUCUCUCUGAAUUCCUUCUGUGCUGGAGACAGAGAACCUGAACCUCCGUAAGUCCAGACACCAGGUGAAUAAUUCUAAUUUAAAAAACCAUGGGUUCAAAUCCCAAUCCGGCUUUUGGCUGGGCUCAAGUCCUGGCAUGUGUGUUCAAGUCCUGGUCUGGGUUCUGGCUAGGUUCAAGUCAGAGGUGUUUGCAGUUUCAAUUGUAACAAGAAUGGAAACGGCUGACUCUAGUAACAUGAUUCCUCUAAGCUCAGAAUUCUCCUUUCCAUUCUAAGUAGCCUCAUGAGAGAACAGAUAGAAGAGUUAGUGAAAAAUCACAUCGGACCCUGAGCCUGACUAGGAUCUUCACAUGCCACAUGGUCAUCUCCUCUGGACCUUACCUUUAUCAUCUGCAGAUAACGUGUACAGGCCUACCACACCUGGGCACAGUGCAGUACAUCGAGGAUGGCAAGGCAAAUAGAAAGCAGGAUACCACAUGCUUGUUUUGAGUGAGCAAGACCUGAGUUCAGAGCAAAUGUCAGUCUUCAGAGACCAUGUGUACGAACAUCCCUUUGGAAGGAAUAGUCACCAUGCAAGUGUGAGGUGUUUUCUUACUGGUGAUUUACCUGAGGACCUAUUUAGUUCAAUUCCUUAUUAUGGUUCAAUCUAAUUAUUACUUAUAGAGCAUCUAUCAAAACUAAAAGCCAAACAGGUUAAGUGACUUGAUCAAGAUCACAUCAUUAGUUAUAUCAUGGAAAAAAUCAAAACAAAUCAACUCACUGGAGUUAAUGUUGCUAUUUUGUCAUGGGACACAAAUAAAGGUUGUAUUAAGCACUACAUAUGUCCAGGCUAAUGAAAUACAGUUACAGUUUUUAGGAAGUAUGUUUUCUAUGGCUUCAAAGCCUUGGGCACAGACACAGAAUAUACACUGGAAACAGGGCAUGGUGCCUCUUAGAAAUGAAAUUUUAAAAGAUUAUGGGGGUCUGAGAGUAUAGUAUACAUCCUUUUUUUUUUCCCUGUCUUUUUGUAUUUUUAGGGCCACACCCAGGCCAUAUGGAGGUUCCCAGGCUAGGGGUCGAAUCGGAGCUGUAGCCACCAGCCUACGCCACUGCCACAGCAGUGCGAGAUUCAAGCCACAUCUGUGACCGACACCACAGCUCACAGCAAUGCCAGAUCCUUAACCCACUGAGCAAGGCCAGGGUUUGAACCUGUGUCCUCAUGGAUGCUAGUCAGAUUCAUUUCCACUGAGCCAUGACAGGAACUCCAAGAUAUGUUUUAAAAGAAGUAUGGCCUCUGCAUUUAGUUUCUAGGUCAGUCAUACAGGACAGAAUUUAGGUUUUGUAUGACCCACAUGACAUUAGAUUUCAGCAAAGUGUAUCAGUUCACCCUAAGGAAGACACUCAAGGAGCUAUGGCCUGAAUAGCCAGCAGCCAAGGCCUGAAAAAGAAUCCAUUAAUCCAGGAAACCACUACUCCAUGGCAUAAGUGAAUCACUGCCACUCUGCCACAAAUCCAAGAUUUCCAGGUCUUCACAUUUUCUGGAAUGUUCUAAGGAACUGGAAGCUCCAGGAGGGCAGACAGGCAGCACAGGAAGUGCUAUUGGGCAGAGGAGAUGUUUGCUUACCCCUGAUGCUCUCUGCACUCCUAAGUGUCUCCAGCUUUAGAGGAGCUGAAGGACUUCCCUAAGGUCACAUACUAGGAAGUCAGGAGGUAGUCCUGGAUUGGUGGCCCAGAGGGAACCCUACAGAUGAGAGAGGGCCUGGGGGUCAUGGAGCAGGAGUGGGAAGCAGCUGCCCCCUCCAGCUUAUGCACUGCAGCAGGGCUGCUGGUGAUCAGCUGAUAGGCAGAGUUUCAGUUUGGUCAUCUCGAGUCCUAGGUAUCAUUGCCUCCCUUCCAGGAGCUUGGAGGUUUGCAAAAACAGCCCAGCCUGUCACAGCAAUGCCUACAUGGCCUGACCUACUGAGGCAAACAUGCCCCUUUUGCUUUCACCUCAGGUACUUGGAGGACUCUGUGGAGCUGUGGCCAUGUUGCCAUGGUAACAGAAGCAGGCCAUUAGAGCAUUACAGAGAGAUAUGAAGACUUGGGAGUCUGUAAUUCACCUGUGCGGCUGAGGUGCGGACAGGUGGCUUAAUAGGGUCUCAGUCCACACUCUGUAACUGUGUUGUGCAUUAGCAGUAAUGGGACCUGGCCACCUGUGUGCUGGGGGUUGGGGGCAAGUCCAGGAAAAAAAGGCCUUGUUGGGGGGCCUGAGGCUGGCUCCUUGCAUGGGCUGGGGUAGGACGAUGGUGGGGAGACCAGAGGGGUCUGUGCAGACAGCCCAGGCUUCCUCUAAGUCCUCGUUGAAGGGUUCUCUGCGUGGAUGUCUCAACUCCUUUCUGUCCUAUUUGAAACCAGAAAAUGCUCUUCCCAGAUAGGCCGGGGGUAGGGGGGGUUGGAUUCUUAGCAAGAGGAUGCUACAACUCAGGGAAGAGGCACCCUCUUAGGCUAGAGAGGUUGACCCAGGCUGGGUGACUAGGAUGGUUCUUCAGGUGGGUGGAGGGGUGGGCCAGAUGAUAUAGUUGGACUUCUUUUGACUACAUACCCACCUAACCUGGCCUCCUUUGUGUUUCUAGCAUUUUACAUAAGGAUCAGUGCUUUUAUAUUUAUUUAUUUGGCCAUGGAGUGCAACAGCAGCUUGACGUGGAUCUCAGUUCCCAGACUAGGGACUGAACCCCGACCACAGUGGUGAAAGCACCGAGUACUAACCACUAGACCACCAGGGAACUCCUCACAGUGCUGAUAACACAAACUCUGGAGUUGGAAUCCCAGCUAUACCAUUUAUUGGCUGUGACCUUGACCGAGUUAUUUAACUUUUUUGUGUUCAGAGAAACCCUGCAUUUGUAUAAUGGGGACAAUAACAGUAACUACCUUACAGAGGUGCUGUGAGGAUUACAUGAGUUAAUACACAUGGUAUUUAGAAUAAUGCCUGGCAUACAGUCAGCAUUAAAUAUAUGUCAGCUAUCUCGAGUAGCAUCAUUGGUAUUAUUAGCAUCAACCUGGACUUACCUAAUGAGAUGUCAUAAAAUAAAGGGGUUGGAAGAAGUGAUCUUCCACUGUAUCUGAGACAGUUCACCAAGCACACUAUCAUGUGAGUCCUUGGCUACCAGUACCUAUUUUAUUUUAUUUUAUUUUAUUUUUUCCUUUUUAAGC
ensembl:lncRNA